GACGUAGGGCGCGAGCGUUGUCCGGAUUUAUUGGGCGUAAAGAGCUCGUAGGCGGCUUGUCACGUCGGCUGUGAAAACCUGGGGCUCAACCCCGGGCCCUGCAGCCGAUACGGGCAAGCUAGAAUUCGGUAGGGGAGACUGGAAUUCCUGGUGUAGCGGUGAAAUGCGCAGAUAUCAGGAGGAACACCGGUGGCGAAGGCGGGUCUCUGGGCCGAUAUUGACGCUGAGGAGCGAAAGCGUGGGGAGCAAACAGG
rnacentral:rRNA from 1 species